rnacentral:rRNA from 1 species
AUACGAAGGGGGCAAGCGUUGUUCGGAAUAACUGGGCGUAAAGCGCACGUAGGCGGAAUGUUAAGUUAGAGGUGAAAUCCCAGGGCGCAACCCUGGAACGGCCUUUAAUACUGGCAAUCUAGAGACCGAGAGAGGUGAGUGGAAUUCCGAGUGUAGAGGUGAAAUUCGUAGAUAUUCGGAGGAACACCAGUGGCGAAGGCGGCUCACUGGCUCGGUACUGACGCUGAGGUGCGAAAGCGUGGGGAGCAAACAGGAUUAGAAACCCUAGUAGUCC